rnacentral:tRNA from 1 species
AUUCUUUUAGUAUUAACCCAGUACAGUUGACUUCCAAUCAUCUAGCUUCGGAAAACCCGAAAAAGAAUA